rnacentral:rRNA from 1 species
GAUGAACGCUGGCGGCGUGCCUAAUACAUGCAAGUCGAGCGAACAGACGAGGAGCUUGCUCCUCUGACGUUAGCGGCGGACGGGUGAGUAACACGUGGAUAACCUACCUAUAAGACUGGGAUAACUUCGGGAAACCGGAGCUAAUACCGGAUAAUAUAUUGAACCGCAUGGUUCAAUAGUGAAAGACGGUUUUGCUGUCACUAAUAGAUGGAUCCGCGCCGCAUUAGCUAGUUGGUAAGGUAACGGCUUACCAAGGCAACGAUGCGUAGCCGAACUGAGAGGGUGAUCGGCCACACUGGAACUGAGACACGGUCCAGACUCCUACGGGAGGCAGCAGUAGGGAAUCUUCCGCAAUGGGCGAAAGCCUGACGGAGCAACGCCGCGUGAGUGAUGAAGGUCUUCGGAUCGUAAAACUCUGUUAUUAGGGAAGAACAAAUGUGUAAGUAACUAUGCACGUCUUGACGGUACCUAAUCAGAAAGCCACGGCUAACUACGUG